rnacentral:rRNA from 1 species
ACAGCAGUCGCCACGGUAAUACGGAGGAUCCAAGCGUUAUCCGGAAUCAUUGGGUUUAAAGGGUCCGUAGGCGGUCUUGUAAGUCAGUGGUGAAAGCCCAUCGCUCAACGGUGGAACGGCCAUUGAUACUGCAGGACUUGAAUUAUUGGGAAGUAACUAGAAUAUGUAGUGUAGCGGUGAAAUGCUUAGAGAUUACAUGGAAUACCAAUUGCGAAGGCAGGUUACUACCAAUUGAUUGACGCUGAUGGACGAAAGCGUGGGUAGCGAACAGGAUUAGAGACCCCGGUAGUCCCUGUCUCUUAUAC